AUUUGUUAAAUAGGUUCCCUAUAAAAUGAAUUGAGAGAGAGAGACACCUUGGAAUGGGAUCCACCAAAACUAGCUAAGAGGAGAUGCCCCUCCCCUCUCAGGAAAUAGGUGACUCUCUGCAGCUUGGACUUAGGCAACUAUCUCUGCUUGCGAUCCAUGGCUGGGAACACUUCUCUUCAAGUCAGGGGGAAGUAUCUCAAACGUUUGUGUCUCAAAAAUGACCCCACUUCAAUUCUAGUGAACUGCACUACAGGGAGAAAAUAGAGAUGUGCUGUGAUUGUGGACAGAUUGUAACAUAGCGGAAUUGCAUAUUAAAACUGAAUUUUGGAAAUCAAA